UACGGAGGGAGCUAGCGUUGUUCGGAAUUACUGGGCGUAAAGCGCACGUAGGCGGCUUUGCAAGUCGGAUGUGAAAUCCCGUGGCUCAACCAUGGACGUGCAUUCGAAACUGCAAAGCUUGAGUAUGGAAGAGGGUCGCGGAAUUCCCGGUGUAGAGGUGAAAUUCGUAGAUAUCGGGAGGAACACCAGUGGCGAAGGCGGCGACCUGGGCCAAUACUGACGCUGAGGUGCGAAAGCGUGGGGAGCAAACAGG
rnacentral:rRNA from 1 species